UACGUAGGGGGCAAGCGUUAUCCGGAUUUACUGGGUGUAAAGGGAGCGUAGACGGCGAUGCAAGUCUGAAGUGAAAGGCGGGGGCCCAACCCCCGGACUGCUUUGGAAACUGUAUAGCUGGAGUGCAGGAGAGGUAAGUGGAAUUCCUAGUGUAGCGGUGAAAUGCGUAGAUAUCACGAAGAACCCCGAUUGCGAAGGCAGCCUGCCGCAGCGUUACUGACGCUGAAGCUCGAAAGCGCGGGUAUCGAACAGG
rnacentral:rRNA from 1 species